rnacentral:rRNA from 1 species
GAUGAACGCUGGCGGCGUGCCUAAUACAUGCAAGUCGAGCGAACGGACGAGAAGCUUGCUUCUCUGAUGUUAGCGGCGGACGGGUGAGUAACACGUGGAUAACCUACCUAUAAGACUGGGAUAACUUCGGGAAACCGGCGCUAAUACCGGAUGAUAUUUUGAACCGCAUGGUUCAAAAGUGAAAGACGGUCUUGCUGUCACUUAUAGAUGGAUCCGCGCUGCAUUAGCUAGUUGGUAAGGUAACGGCCUACCAAGGCAACGAUGCAUAGCCGACCUGAGAGGGUGAUCGGCCACACUGGAACUGAGACACGGUCCAGACUCCUACGGGAGGCAGCAGUAGGGAAUCGUCCGCAAUGGGCGAAAGCCUGACGGAGCAACGCCGCGUGUGUGAUGAAGGUCUUCGGAUCGUAAAACUCUGUUAUUAGGGGAGAACAUAUGUGUAAGUAACUGUGCACAUCUUGACGGUACCUAAUCAGAAAGCCACGGCUAACUACGUG